CAGCAGCCGCGGGAAUACGCAGGUGGCAAGCGUUGUCCGGAAUUAUUGGGCGUAAAGGGCUCGCAGGCGGUUUCUUAAGUCUGAUGUGAAAGCCCCCGGCUCAACCGGGGAGGGUCAUUGGAAACUGGGAAACUUGUGUGCAGAAGAGGAGAGUGGAAUUCCACGUGUAGCGGUGAAAUGCGUAGAGAUGUGGAGGAACACCAGUGGCGAAGGCGACUCUCUGGUCUGUAACUGACGCUGAGGAGCGAAAGCGUGGGGAGCGAACAGGAUUAGAUACCCCUGUAGUCCCUGUCUCUUAUAC
rnacentral:rRNA from 1 species